UAGGAGAGAAACUUUGGGGUGUGAGGAAGGCUUCUGCAUAAGGUGAAGGUCCAAAACCUUCCGAGAGAAAAAGAAAGAAAAGAGAGAAAAUUGGGCGCAGGGUUUUUGGUGUAUACCCUAGGGUUUCUACCUAGGGUUCGGGAAGUGAGAUUGGUGUGCCACGAGUGUCGUGAGUCCACCAAAUUUUAGAGAGAGAUCCAUCAUACUCUCAAGCAACUGUGCAGACGAUCU
rnacentral:lncRNA from 1 species